GGGUCAGGCUCAGUGUUGGGGUCUCAGAAGGCAACACUCUUGGGGCAUCUGCACCAUGGCCUGGUCUCUGGUCCUCUUCACACUCCUCACUCAGGGCACAGGUUCCUGGGCCCAGACUCCCCUGACUCAGCCUCCCUCAGUGUCUGGGUCUCUUGGACAGUCUGUCACCAUCUCCUGUGCUGGAAGCAGCAAUGAUGUUGGUGGUUAUAAUGAUGUCUCCUGGUACCAACAACAACUGGGCACUGCCCCUAAACUCCUGAUUUAUAGUGUAAGCAGUCGGCCCUCAGGGAUCCCUGAUCACUUCUCUGGCUCCAAGUCAGGCAACACGGCCUCCCUGACCAUCUCUGGACUCAAGGCUGAGGACGAGGCUGACUACUACUGUGCUUCAUAUAGAAGUGGUAGCACUCUCCACAGUGGUGCAAGUUGAUGGGGAAGGGAGAGC